rnacentral:rRNA from 1 species
UACGUAGGGUGCGAGCGUUGUCCGGAAUUAUUGGGCGUAAAGAGCUUGUAGGCGGUUUGUCGCGUCUGCCGUGAAAGCCCAGGGCUUAACCCUGGGUCUGCGGUGGGUACGGGCAGACUAGAGUGUGGUAGGGGAGACUGGAAUUCCUGGUGUAGCGGUGGAAUGCGCAGAUAUCAGGAGGAACACCGGUGGCGAAGGCGGGUCUCUGGGCCGUUACUGACGCUGAGGAGCGAAAGCGUGGGGAGCGAACAGG